rnacentral:rRNA from 2 species
UCCGACCUCGGAUCAGACGGGGAUACCCGCUGAAUUUAAGCAUAUCAGUAAGCGGAGGAAAAGAAACUAACCAGGAUUCCCUCAGUAACGGCGAGUGAAGCGGGAAGAGCC